ensembl:lncRNA
UUGGUAGCUAUUAAGCUGGGUUGAGAUUAAGAUGCUCACUGCAUCUCCAAACGUGAUGAAAAUCAAACCCCACUCCUUUACGAUGCCUCCCGGGGGGGGAUUUUCACACUCAGGAGUUUGUACACUAAAACUGAUAUCCUGACCUAAGUGCUGUUCUAGCUCGCCUUACUAUAAAUCAGAAGCAGCUCUCUGGUGCACAUGAACUCACAGUCAGAGCAUUUAUUUGUUAGGAGGGUGGAUUAACAAAGGCGUGGGCAGAACCCAGGAAAGAGAAAGGGGCCAUAAAGCAGAAAAGUGAUGGAGCCAGGCGCACACGGGAUACCGUGUCCCCAAAUAGUUUGGCGUCAAAUAACAAAAAUAGCUAUAACUUCAUUCCCUUAAUGUGCCCAUUAGUCUAAGUAAGACCUUUCUUUGGUUCGUGCCUGAACCUGGCUGUUUCUCUGCAACCUGCAAUUUAAUCUUCUGCGAAUGUAAUACCCUAAACGUAAUCAUCUGUGAAAUUAAAACAUAAUCAGCUCUCCGUUAUUAGGGGAAGUGGGGAGCUGCAAAAUUGAAAGAAGGAAAACCUGGCUGAUGGAAGUGGUUCUGGGCCCAAGAUGGCCCUGGAAGAAUCCCAGUCCUUUCCAGAAGCGAUGUGCUCUGUGCUCUGGCAGGAGAGUCCCCUCAGUCAGGCUGGGAGGUGCAGAACCGGUGUAGGCACCGCUACAUGCAUAGCAUGGCUUAUUCACAACGUGGGUAACAAACCCAGGAAUAAUGGAGAAUAAAUUCUGCUUUGUUUCUUCGUUUGCUUUGCUGUAACUGAAACAAAAUAGGUGUUUAAAUUAAUGUUAAUAAAACAUUUUGAAGCGAGAGUGUUACGAAGGUGCUGCAAGCAGCAAUAAAAUCACCACGAAAUUACAAACAUGAUUUCAUGAAGAAUAAGACAUCAGCUCUGAAAUAGGAUUGAAGCAGCAGAAGUAUCCAGUUGCAGGAAUAAAAGACUUCAUCUAGCAAGAAUGGCAACACCGCACUCCUUAACGCACGGUAGAGGCAGGCAGGAAAGCACUCUCUCACUUCACUUCCAAAACUAAUGAAGAAAAGUGCCCACAAGCUCCAGGGGAGGGAAAAAAGGAUGAAAAACAGGCAGAUUCAGAUAAUUAAAAUUCACGGGUUGGAUAGAGGAGCUGGAGGCUGAAGCAGAACUUCCCAGUGCUGAGUACACGCAGUCUGCCUUUCAGAUCAUGACAUAACUGCUCUGUUUGCAGUCAUCCUCACUUCUGGCUCCUAUCCUUCACAACCCCAGAAGCAAAGAGAAUUUACAGUAAUUAGAACUGUCCUUGAUCCAGCUCAGGAAAGGGUGCCAGUACGCUCAGCAUCUGAAACACCUCGGUCGUCUAGCUUCCAUCUGUCUCGGUGAUGUCUAAAUGUGUCUGCACUGAACAUUUCCAGACCUGUGUUCAAUUCAUCUGAUUCCAAGUGUCUUCCUUCGGCCACUUUUGGUGCGGAUCAGCCAGCGUCCCAUUUAUGUUUUGAAAAACUACCCUGACCCCUUAACUUCAGUCCGAAAGAAAGUACUCUUUGAACGCUAGCUCCACACGCAAAGGAAGUUCUUAAUAUUACUGUAAAUGGAACCCAUCUCCACACGUGGCAUCUCAGACCUGUGGGUGCAUGGCAUACUGGAGAUUUACCCCAGAAAACGCAGGCAGAGCCAUUGCGACUCAGCAGUGAAGGUCACAGACCUGCUCUCCAGACCUUGACCUCAGCUGACUGAGCAAAUUGCCAACAGACCAGAGAAGUGGAGAGCGGGGGGAAGGGGUCAGCAGACGUUGGAGACAGAUGGCCCAAUUCAUCAUCCACCAGAAAUAAAUUAAAAAAUAAAAAUAAAAAGCUGCUCCAAGCGUUAUACACGCAGUGGUGAUUGUAAAUUCCACAACUGUGGAGGGCUGCCAAGCCAUUAUACACAUACCAAUACUGCAGUCUCUGUGCAUAACUCCAGAAAGGUGAAGUCAGGAGAAGCUGCAAAGCAUAAAGCGUGUUUAGCUCUCAGGAAAUCGGUUUGUAAAAUGAUUAUCCAAGCCCUGGUGGAACGAAAAGCAUGUAGAAGUUAGGGACUAAUAGGAUACUAUGGCUUGUACAUAGACAAUGCAUUUGCACAAUGCAUAAUUUAGUUAUCCAUGGAUGUGACUGUUGAUAUUAUAGUUAUUUAUCUUCUUCUAACACUAUUUUUGUUUGAGUUUUACUCUUGACAGUUUCCCAGUUUGAGCUGUCAGGCUGUGUGUCCUGCUAAAUAUGGUACUUUGGUCAGAAGGCAGAGUGCCUCAGGAGCCAGCAAUGCUCUAUGACACCACUGGAAGGAAGGAAGGGUGUGCAGAGCAGGAGGGGUUUCCCCAGAUCGCCUUCCUUGGUUUCACUGCAAUGAAGUGAAAGAAGGAUCUACCUUGGGUUUUUGUAAAUACACUGACAGCAAAGAGAGAGUUGCAUUGGUGUUGGUGCUGUUGGUAGCACUACUGAAUGCUCCGGGUGGUUUUCCAAGCACAAUUUCCCCACGGGUGGAGAUAACAGCAGCCAUCAGAUUGCUCAAUGUCACAAAGCAAGCGCUGGGAAAUCUCCGUCACAGCCUUUGUGCAGCUUUCAGCUCUCUUUCCACGCAGGCCAAUAUCUAUGCACAACACAACAAAGAGUUAUUAAU